GACGAACGCUGGCGGCGUGCUUAACACAUGCAAGUCGAACGGAAAGGCCCUGCGUUGGUGGGGUGCUCGAGUGGCGAACGGGUGAGUAACACGUGAGUAACCUGCCCUUGACUUUGGGAUAACUUCAGGAAACUGGUGCUAAUACCGGUUAUGAUCUCCUGCUGCAUGUUGGGGGUGGGAAAGUUUCGGCGGUUGGGGAUAGACUCGCGGCUUAUCAGCUUGUUGGUGGGGUGGUGGCUUACCAAGGGUUUGACGGGUAGCCGGCCCGAGAGGGUGACCGGCCACAUCUGUGCGGGGCUACGGCCCAGAUUCCGAUCGUAGGCAGCAGUGGGGAAUGUUGCGCAAUGCGAGGAAGCCUGAUGCAGCAACGUAGCGUGAGUGAUGACGGCCUUCGGGUUGUAAACCGAAUUCGCCUGUGCCGAUGCGUGCGUGACAGUAAUGGCUAACGCAGCCCCGACUAACUACGUG
rnacentral:rRNA from 1 species